GCCGGAGUGGCGGAAUGGCAGACGCGGAGGCCUCAAAAGCCUUUGAGGGCAACCUCGUGUGGGUUCAACUCCCACCUCCGGCA
rnacentral:tRNA from 1 species